rnacentral:rRNA from 1 species
UACGGAGGGUGCAAGCGUUAAUCGGAAUUACUGGGCGUAAAGCGCACGCAGGCGGUCUGUUAAGUCAGAUGUGAAAUCCCCGGGCUUAACCUGGGAACUGCCUUUGAAACUGGCAGGCUUGAGUCUGGUAGAGGGGGGUAGAAUUCCAGGUGUAGCGGUGAAAUGCGUAGAGAUCUGGAGGAAUACCGGUGGCGAAGGCGGCCCCCUGGACGAAGACUGACGCUCAGGUGCGAAAGCGCGGGGAGCAAACAGG